AUGCAGCAAUGCAUAGUGGCAGACGGGUGCGUAACGCGUAUGCAACCUACCCCGGAUCGGGGAACAACUUCGCGAAAGUGGAGCUAAUACCGCGUAACAUUGCGGGGCGGCAUCGUCCUGCAAUUAAACUUACGGGGAUCCGGGAUGGGCAUGCGUCUGAUUAGCUAGUUGGUGAGGUAACGGCUCACCAAGGCGACGAUCAGUAGGGGAACUGAGAGGUUGAUCCCCCACACUGGCACUGAGAUACGGGCCAGACUCCUACGGGAGGCAGCAGUAGGGAAUAUUGGGCAAUGGUCGGAAGACUGACCCA
rnacentral:rRNA from 1 species